rnacentral:rRNA from 1 species
AUUGAACGCUGGCGGCAUGCCUUACACAUGCAAGUCGAACGGCAGCACGGGUGCUUGCACCUGGUGGCGAGUGGCGAACGGGUGAGUAAUACAUCGGAACGUACCUUAUCGUGGGGGAUAACGCAGCGAAAGCUGUGCUAAUAACGCAUACGCCCUGAGGGGGAAAGCGGGGGAUCGCAAGACCUCGCGCGAUUAGAGCGGCCGAUGCCUGAUUAGCUUGUUGGUGGGGUAAAAGCCCACCAAGGCGACGCUCAGUAGCUGGUCUGAGAGGAGGAUCAGCCACACUGGGACUGAGACACGGCCCAGACUCCUACGGGAGGCAGCAGUGGGGAAUUUUGGACAAUGGGGGCAACCCUGAUCCAGCAAUGCCACGUGAGUGAAGAAGGCCUUCGGGUUGUAAAGCUCUUUUGUCAGGGAAGAAACACCGGCUCUAACACAGUCCGGGAAUGACGGUACCUGAAGAAUAAGCACCGGCUAACUACGUGCCAGCAGCCGCCGUAA